CACCUGCUGUUGGGACAGGACCCAGAGAGGAGACUAUGAUCCUGAGUUAGUGGCUCCUCAACCUGUGAAGUCUCAUCAUAAAGUAUUAUAAGUGAAAGGAACAAUUGAGGCAGUUUUAUGGUGUCAUUUGUGUAUGACUUGGCUACCAUCCCCAGCUAUUUUGUUAGAGAAGGGAAGAUUGUCAGGGACUGGGAGACCCUUUCAUUAGGGAGUGAAAGAAUGAAUAGUUGCAGCUUGCUGCCUGAAAUGGGAAGAGGCAGAAUGUCAUGUCCCUUGUCACGAGACCUGCUGCCCACAUCAGGGAGUGAGAGGAAGGAUUGUACCUAACUUUGAUCUUGGUGUGUUUGAUUGUUACGGCAACCUGGGACAUUUUUCUGCAUCUUUAAGGAGCUUGUAUUAUAAUGAAUCUGAACAUGAGACGGAAUUAAGUCCUGAUCCUGAAAACACGUGUACUUUACUUAAGGCAAUGGGACUACUCACGUAUUUACAGCAGUAGAAGAACACUAGUUAUAUGAAGAUCAGACUACUUGCUCUUUCAACAGAUUGUGCACUUAAAGUACAGACCUAAAAAGAGUAAUUGGAAUGCUCAGGAUAGGCAGUAAUAGUGAGAGCCCAGGGACACAGGAGUGGUGGGACUGCUCUUGCUGCUUCAAGCCUGCAAAAUUCGUCAGGGUGAAACAAUACAGAUGCCUCCUCCUUUACAGUGUUACAGCACACGUUUAAUCUGAAGAAAGCUGCCUUUGCCACAGCCAUCUAGAUGGGGCAUCUAUGCCAACAGGGGGAUGUGUUAUGCUAUGUUACUAAUAAAGCCAGGAGCCACUUCUGGCUAGUAUAUGUAAUUGAUGCUGCCAUAACAAUUUUGUUUGGGCUAUAUUGCUAUUUAUGUAGGAGACCAACAGUCACCCUAGCCACCAUGUCAGAGGGAGGAUGGAAACCUAAGUGGUGACCCCUCACAACAAAAUGUUGAUUCCAGGUCAAUGGGGGGAAUGUCACAACCCAAUGGCCCCUUCCCUCAUGGGGUCCCCUGUGGAGGAAGAUCAGCAUUGUAUGUUGCUAACGCUGCUGCAAGCAUCACAAGGCAUUUUGGGAAGAGUCAAAGGUGUGAGUGUGGAGUGAAAGAUUCCUUUGCAGGUUGCGAGAGGCCAAAAGGGGGAGGGAGGAAGAGAGCAGAGAACGGACCAACUCGACACUUCAGCUAGCUCCGUCUGAAGAUGAGACGCUGGCCCUGGUCCAAGGUCAUGGGCUCGAUGAGAAAUAUGCAGCUGCCCAGCCAUGAGAAGAGGAGAACUAAGCUGAGCAGGGCUGCAGCAGAGAUUGCAGUGAGAACAGUGAGAGCGAAUGAGAUGGCAAAGACCAAUGUGGGGGGAAACACUCACUCAGAGGAAGUGAGGGGAAAACAAAUAUGGGGGAAAACAAAGUCUCUGAAGCCGGUGUGUUUUGGUAAAGCCAAGGAGGCCACAGCGAGCUGUUUUGGACUGGUACAAAGAGUACCAGGAACAGAGGGCCCUGAACGAAAACACCCCGAAAAGAACCCAGGACUUAAAAACCCUCCCAAGAGCCAAAGCAAGUCAGAGAUCACAGCGGACCCUGGUCGACCCAUUCACGGGACAAGAACUCCCGUCCACCAGUCCCCCUCUUCUUCUUAUGUUACACCCAGGGUU